rnacentral:rRNA from 1 species
UGCAGUCGAGCGGUAACAGGUGUAGCAAUACAUGCUGACGAGCGGCGGACGGGUGAGUAACGCUUGGGAAUCUGCCUGUUAGUGGGGGACAACCCGGGGAAACUCGGGCUAAUACCGCAUACGCACUACGGUGGAAAGCCGGGGACCGCAAGGCCUGGCGCUAACAGAUGAGCCCAAGUCGGAUUAGCUAGUUGGUAGGGUAACGGCCUACCAAGGCGACGAUCCGUAACUGGUCUGAGAGGACGACCAGUCACACCGGAACUGAGACACGGUCCGGACUCCUACGGGAGGCAGCAGUGGGGAAUAUUGGACAAUGGGGGCAACCCUGAUCCAGCCAUGCCGCGUGAGUGAUGAAGGCCUUCGGGUUGUAAAGCUCUUUUGGCGGGGACGAUGAUGACGGUACCCGCAGAAUAAGCCCCGGCUAACUUCGUGCCAGCAGCCGCGGUAAGACGAAGGGGGCUAGCGUUGUUCGGAAUUACUGGGCGUAAAGCGAGUGUAGGUGGUUGUCCAAGUUGGAUGUGAAAGCCUUGAGCUCAACUCAAGAAAUGC